rnacentral:lncRNA from 1 species
CAGUUUGUAACAAUUAGUUACUUGGCAGCAACGGGAAUGAACAGCUGUGUCCUAUGAAAGAGGAGGUGGGCUAGUUCCAUCUGCAGCCAGAGACUUAGCAAGGAAGGGUGAGAGUUCCAGGGGGGCAUCUUGCAGACCAAUGUAAGGAAGAAUUUCCAAGAACGAGGCCUGCCCAGCAUCGAUGUGGCUGCCUUGGGCCAUUCUGCCUCCUACAGCAUCGGACUGACCACCUCUUGGGAACAUAGCAGGUAGCUCGCAUUUCCCCGGGACACAUUGCUGAAGCUUGUCACGGUGGUGAGAGAGACCUGUGGUCUCCUAGGAGGCGUGGAGCAGCCUUCCCACACUCUCUGCACAUACACAUCCUCGGGGGAUCUGGUCCAGGGGCAGAUUCUGACACCCCAGGCCUCAGCUGAGGCUCCAGACGCUGUGUCUCUCACAAGCCCUCGGAGGACAGUGAUGCUGCAGGUCCACAGGCCACAGGGAUCCAGAGUGGCUGCUGGUGAGUUUCCAGAAGACCCGGAACUAUUAUUUAGAGGGGGCAGGGGAAGGUAUUUCACCUUGCUACAACUUAGGCUGGGCCAGAGCUUUCCUUUCCGGGAAUGCUGUUGAACAAAAAAGUGGGACCUGGGGUGGCUGAGAUGGGCGUCCUGGAGAAGUGUGGGCUGGGAGACCUAGAAGCCACCUUUCGGUAGAAUAAUCUAGGAUCUCAAAACUUCCUGGGCUCCUGUCCUGUUUGGGGUUAAGGGACUUGAUGAGACAAUGCUGAAGGAACCCUACAGCUGACUUUGUGGAGCUUGUCUCCCAUGCCAAGCUCUUGCCUUAGCUAUCCGCUUUAGUGCUCACAGCAAUUCUAUGAUUCAAGAAUUGCUUUACUACCCCAUUUUGCAGAGGAGAAGACAGAGCAUAAAGAGGUUAAACCAUGCCUAUGGUCACCCCUAUCGGUGAAGCUGAGAUUUGAAGUGGCGUUUGGACCCCAGAGCUGAGCUGAUUAUCACCAUGACAUUCAACCUUCCAGAAUCCUGCAGACCCUCAAUAGGGUGCCCUGCCCUCCUGUCCAUGCCUGGGCCUUCCAGGACUAGCAGAGUGGUGUAGGACAUUCAGGGAUGGGCCAGGGCAUCCUUGUACGUGGCCCCUCCCUAGGUCACCCCCAAUCCCUGCUCUGGUUGGCUCCACACUUUUACAUGAAGCCCCGCUGCUCCCAGAUGGGGGAUUAGACCAGGGGCUCCUGUUCAGCUUUUCAUGCAGGAAGACUACUGAGCAGGGGCUGGCUGUGGAAGAGGGGAAAGUUGCCACCCUUGUCUAAAAUUGCCGCUGCGGGAUGGAGAGGAAGAUUCCUGCAUACCCAAGGAGAGGUUGAGGCUCCAGGGAGAAGGAGGGAGCAGCGCUGCCUGAGCACAUGCCCCCAGCGUGUGGGCUGCUGGGCAGAUGCCAGCAUCCCCAUCAUUUAGGGCCUGAAUAAACAGCCUUGUUUUACUCUGCUCUUUGCUGAGCAAAACAGGGCUCCAAACCCCUCCUGGCCAUCCUCAAAUCUCUUCCAUUUUCCAAAUCCUCAAACGCUUGAGGCUGUAUCUCUUUGGCCUGUCCACCAUAGAAAACAAGAGGCUGGUCCCUUCCCAGGCGAGGAGAGCCUCCCUCCCGGUGCUCCUGCGGUCGCCACACGUCUCCGUGGCUGACUCUUUAUAGCAAGGUGCAGACACCAGGGAUGGGGGUUCAGAUGUGUGCACAGCAGGGUCUUUGGGGUCAGGGAGCUCUUCAGGGCAGGCAGAGCACAUUCUCAGGCCAUUAGCUGGUUGGGCCAGAGUUCACCUGCCACCACCCUGCCCCCAGACCAGCAUCACGGCAGGGUCCCUGGUCCCUCAGAGACCCCUUGAGAGAGCAAUCCCCACCACGGUCCAGGAGGUAGCUGCAAACCUGGAAAAACAGGACAGACUCCAGGAGAAGCACAUAAGCCAAUUAAGAGCCCAGGCUGGCCCGGCGGCUCCAGUAGCACCUGCUCUCAUCUUGUGAGGUGCAUGCGGCUUGGGCUGCUGGGAAGGUACAGUGCGGCCUAAUUACACACUCCUCCGUGACAGGCGGUGUCAAAAGAUUAAAGGAAUCAAACCAAGUGGCUCUCCAGUGGCCCCUCCCCCAGGAACCAGAGCUGCUGCGUGAAGGUGAUUAUGGUACCAACGUAGUGGUUAGAAAGAUAAUUUUCUCUGGGCCCUGUGCCUGCCGCCUCCUCCACUGAGCUGCGCUUCGGCACUGCGACUCGGCCACCUUGUCUGGGCUUCACAGAUUCCUUUUCUUUUUUGUUGGCACAGCUGAGCAGAAGGAAACAAACUAAGCAGCUCUCCCUCCACCAGCCUCCCACCCCACCACCCACGGGCCUCUCCUCCUCUUCCCUCUCCUCCCCU